ACCCGCUGAACUUAAGCAUAUCAAUAAGCGGAGGAAAAGAAACCAACAGGGAUUGCCCCAGUAACGGCGAGUGAAGCGGCAAGAGCUCAAAUUUGAAAUCUGGCCCCUCCGGGGUCCGAGUUGUAAUUUGCAGAGGAUGCUUCGGGUACGGCCCCGGUCUAAGUCCCCUGGAACGGGGCGUCAUAGAGGGUGAGAAUCCCGUCUGGGAUCGUCGGCCGUGCCCGUGUGAAGCUCCUUCGACGAGUCGAGUUGUUUGGGAAUGCAGCUCUAAAUGGGUGGUAAAUUUCAUCUAAAGCUAAAUACUGGCCGGAGACCGAUAGCGCACAAGUAGAGUGAUCGAAAGAUGAAAAGCACUUUGAAAAGAGAGUUAAACAGCACGUGAAAUUGUUGAAAGGGAAGCGCUUGCGACCAGACUCGCCCGCGGGGUUCAGCCGGGAUUCGUCCCGGUGUACUUCCCCGCGGUCGGGCCAGCGUCGGUUUGGGCGGCCGGUCAAAGGCCCCGGGAAUGUAUCGCCCUCCGGGGCGUCUUAUAGCCCGGGGUGCAAUGCGGCCUGUCCGGACCGAGGAACGCGCUUCGGCACGGACGCUGGCGUAAUGGUCGUAAGCGGCCCGUCUUGAAACACGG
rnacentral:rRNA from 1 species